GUAUUUUAAAAUUGAGUGAUUAAAAUGUUCAGUAUUCCAUUUAGGUUUUACUUUUUUUCUAUUUUAUUUAUUUAUAUGAUAUUGUCCAUGAUGCAAUUUGGGGACCACAAGGCAUGUACUAUUUGAUAACAAUAACCCUUUCAAAGAAGGGAACAAUACAUCAUCUGUGGGUAGGUUGCAAGAAGUGGUUAUGGUGGAUUUGUUCAAGACAAUAUUUUGAAAGUUCCUUAUUUUGACCAUAGUUGUUCAUGCACUUUGGUUUUACAUGCAGAGGACUUUGGGUAUUGAUCACCAUUACCAGCUGAUUAAGUGAAGGCAUCAAGUGAUUUUGAUUAUAGAGAGAGUUCACCAAAUGACCGAAUUCAAGGUCGUGGUGGAUUAGGAAGAGGAAGGACUAGAGGUAUUAGUUUUAUUGCAGCCGAUUAUGAGGAUGGAGGCUGGAAUCGCAACAUGAAAAAUGCUAGGGGUGAAGGGGCAGAGUAAGAGGAUGUGGUUUUUGUGGAUACAACCAAGAUAUACCUCCUUAUGGAUGUAACACUUAAUCCUUAUUGUUUUAUUUUUAUUUUUUCAUUUUAACUGGAUGGGAAGCAUUGUCAUUUUUUCCUUUUUUCCUUUUUUCCUUUAUAUUAUGAAAUGAUUAAAUUCAUUAUUCUGUGUAUAAAAUAUCAUAUCUUCCUUUACAUCCGACAUUUAACCUUUUUAUCCAAGGAUGUGCUGCAACAUGUCGUCUUUUAUUCAAAUGUCUUUUUUGUAUAUAGAUGAGAGAAGACAAAGAAUUAUAUAUCUUGCAGUGUUGAUUAUUUUGAA